rnacentral:rRNA from 1 species
UACAUGGGGUGCAAACGUUGCUCGGAAUUAUUGGGCGUAAAGCGCACGUAGGCGGUUUGUUAAGUCGGAUGUGAAAUCCCUCGGCUCAACUGAGGAAGUGCAUCCGAAACUGGCAAGCUUGAGUACGAAAGAGGGUCGCGGAAUCCCCGGUGUAGAGGUGAAAUUCGUAGAUAUCGGGAGGAACACCGGUGGCGAAGGCGGCGACCUGGGUCGAUACUGACACUGAGGAGCGAAAGCGUGGGGAGCGAACAGG